CAGAAGCCAGCCCUAGUUUAUCAGUCUCUCUCUGCUCUGUGUGUGCUGUGCCCAUGAGCUGCCGGUUCUACAAAGAGUUGGAUGCAAUACUUAGUGGUGACCCCACCUCCACUGUGAAGUCCCUUGGGGAUACUUCGUUGGCUUCAUUACCAGUUGAGAGUGGACUGAGCCAGGAGGAGGCAAUCUUGGCUGAAGAGGGGGGGGAGGAAGCUAAGGCAGAGGAUGACUCAGACGCCAGAGAUGCAUGCAGUCAGGAGCUCUUUUCUACGCCAGAGGAGCCUAGCCAGUCACAGCAGUUAGAUCUUGGUGAAGUGCAAACAGGAGAGGAGGCCCCUGAGAUGAUCUUGAGAGGUCGCAGAAUGGCUGCACAGAAUUAGAAAGUGGCCAAGAAGAACUAAGGAGGACUUAAUGCAUGAGGUUAUGAUGCACUCCGCCACCGAGAAAAAGGAAUUGAAGGAGUGGUGGGACAGCGAGAAGAGAGAACGAAAGGAAAAUGCGGCACACCAGAAAGAAGCCACAAAGCAGCUCUUAACAGUUAUGGAGUACCAAGUGGACACUCUCCAGGAGAUACUAGCUCUUUGUCCGAGCAGCUCUGUGUCCGCCCUCUCCUGCAGCUGCUGUUGCAAAACUUUCCCAUGAGCCCCCACACACACUGCCAACACAUGCUUAUCAACCUCCUGGCUCCACUCUCUAUCUGCAGCAUUCCACUCCUCCCUCCUCACAGUCCAGCAGUGUGGACUCCCAAUACCCACAGCACUCAACACUCAUCCCUCUGCAAUUUGGCCCUGCUGAAGUACAGCACCCACUGCAUCCUACUCCAAAGGAGAAGAUUGGGAUCAUACCCCUGGACAUAUACAAAUCUGUAGCUGUCCCAGGACCCCUCUUCCUUUUGAGACCUUCUCUUCCUCCCAUUCCUUCCAUUCUCUCAUCACCCUCCCUGCUGAUGAAUUUUUUCGUUUAACUCUUUCC